rnacentral:misc_RNA from 1 species
GAAAAAUUCAUGAUAUAUAGAGUUGUCAGAGGGUUCCCUAUUUUUUCUCUCAUUUUUGUGUGUUGUUCCGCUUUGUUUUGCCGGCCAGCGGCUCCCCCUGCCCCCCCAAGGGGAGCUCCUCCUUCAGCCCGGAUGUGGGUUACACCCUCCCCUCCGGGAUGGGUUGAAGAGAAAUUGCUUCAAUGGCUGUGGUAGAGAAAGGGAGGUACCCCGAGGAUCAAGAGUUGACCGAGUGAGUGUCACCCCCUUCGGCUAUAUCAAAAUGAGAAGCCACAGGGCUCUACGUUUCUCUCAAAUUUCUACUCCCUUCAAGCUUUGGAUCUAGGGGCCUUAGCACUACUUUUGUGGGUUUGGGUUUUCUGGAUCUUUCCUACCCAUUCAAUUUCAACAGCGGUGCUUCCAUGGCUGGUGCUUCUAUUUUUAGGAGGUCUUCUAGCUUGCCUGUCCUUUUUCACCAUGGGUUGCUUUCGGGACUCUCUUUUAAGGCAAUAUCAGCCAUCUGUAGUCCAUUGAUGCUUCAAUCGAAGUUGUCUUUCCCUGGUGAAAGUUCAGUCAUCUCUCUGCACAGCUCCUUCUACCGCAGCUUUUGGUUUCUUUAGGCGGGUCAUGGGCCUGGGCAAUGGUGCAUCAUCAACUAGGGUUUUGUGAAGGGCUUUGACCCUCUUUUAGAAUAUGGUUGGGUUUGUUUAGAUAGGCCUCUGUAAAUUGGGUCGGGUCAUGAGUCCUUUUUCUAAACUAAAAUUAUAAAUUGUUUCAUAUAUCAAUAAAUUUUAGUUUAGAAAAAGGACUCAUGAC